rnacentral:rRNA from 1 species
GAUGAACGCUGGCGGCGUGCCUAAUACAUGCAAGUCGAGCGAACGGACGAGAAGCUUGCUUCUCUGAUGUUAGCAGCGGACGGGUGAGUAACACGUGGAUAACCUACCUAUAAGACUGGGAUAACUUCGGGAAACCGGAGCUAAUACCGGAUAAUAUUUUGAACCGCAUGGUUCAAAAGUGAAAGACGGUCUUGCUGUCACUAAUAGAUGGAUCCGCGCUGCAUUAGCUAGUUGGUAAGGUAACGGCUUACCAAGGCAACGAUGCAUAGCCGACCUGAGAGGGUGAUCGGCCACACUGGAACUGAGACACGGUCCAGACUCCUACGGGAGGCAGCAGUAGGGAAUCUUCCGCAAUGGGCGAAAGCCUGACGGAGCAACGCCGCGUGAGUGAUGAAGGUCUUCGGAUCGUAAAACUCUGUUAUUAGGGAAGAACAUAUGUGUAAGUAACUGUGCACAUCUUGACGGUACCUAAUCAGAAAGCCACGGCUAACUACGUG